GCCAGUGUGGUGUAGUGGUUUGAAUGUUGGACUACGACUCUGAGCACCCAGGUUCAAUUCCCUGCUUGGCCA